rnacentral:rRNA from 1 species
GUAGGUGGCAAGCGUUGUCCGGAAUUAUUGGGGCGUAAAGCGCGCGCAGGCGGUUCUUUAAGCCUGAUGUGAAAGCCCACGGGCUCAACCGUGGAGGGUCAUUGGAAAUUGGAGAACUUGAGUACAGAAGAGGAAAGCGGAAUUCCACGUGUAGCGGUGAAAUGCGUAGAGAUGUGGAGGAACACCAGUGGCGAAGGCGGCUUUCUGGUCUGUAACUGACGCUGAGGCGCGAAAGCGUGGGGAGCAAACAGGAUUAGAUACCCUGGUAGUCCACGCCGUAAACGAUGAGUGCUAAGUGUUAGGGGGUUUCCGCCCCUUAGUGCUGCAGCUAACGCAUUAAGCACUCCGCCUGGGGAGUACGGCCGCAAAGGCUG